AAACACAACCUAAACACACUAAGUGCAGCUGCAGAAGUGAGAGAGAGGAGGAAGAAGUGGUAUUAUUCACUCUCUUCUUCAAUCCAUCAUAUCUCGAGCUACGGUGCUCUGAUUCGCGUACCGUCAGCGGCUAUGCGAAACUCUUGCCGAGUCCGUUACUCUCAUCUAACAUUUGUAGGUAUUAACCAUUAGUGAGGGAUUGUUGGGUUCUAUCCCAAAUUUUAGUUCAUAAGUUUGAAUAUUGGAGCUUGUUGGAUGUUCAUUGGAUAUUUGGGAGCAUUUGGAGUUAAAUUGGUGGCUUGGUUUAAGCUUGGUGUGAUCAAUUAGUGAUUUUGUACAUAUUGAGAAUCGGCUAAGGUUCGGAAGGAGGUGGCGAUGGAUCGCAUGGCGAUUAGGCUGGCGAAGGCUAUGGGACAGUGGAGAAUUGUUAGAUUAGAAAUCCACUAAGUUAGAUUAUCCUUUUCAUUGUGGUUUUUAAAGUUAAUGUUUUAAAGUUUAAUUAUAUUUUAAGCUUGAAUCUUGUGGUGGAUAUGAAGUUCUAGGAUUGCCUCUGGCGUCCCAGAGUCUUAUAUCUUACAUCACUGGCACUGUUAACAUAAUGAGAACCUUUGGUUCUCAUACCAUAUUCUAUUGUUGUUUUUCAGAUGCAGGUCGUAACUCACCUCGGUGAGUUUCUUGACAGUGACAAAGCGAAGGAUCCUUGCUAUGUUUUGGAAGUCUUUUGGUUUAUUUUGUGUAGAUCUCUCACUUUUGUAGUUAUCUAUGCCUCAGAGGCUUACUUUGAGAGAGAUAUUGUAUAAGCUGUUUUACUUUCAAAACUCUGUAUGUAUGUAUAUAACUAGCUGGCUUAAAUUUCGCGGGCGGCAGCUAGAUCCUUAUGACUAUUAUACUUUGAUAUAUCUUUA